CAGAUUUUUACAAAUACAAGAAGAACAACGACGGCAAGAAGAAGAGUUAGAACAACGACAUGUUGAACUAAAGGAUAGACUAUUGCAUUUCCAGCAAGAACAAAGACAGAAAGAAGAUGAGUUGCAAAAACGAACAGCUGAACUUGAGCUUACAAAACGACGAGCUGAAGAAGCACGAAAAAUAACUGAAUUAAACCAAAUUAGAGCGGAAACCGCUGACCAUGCCUCCAAUUCCCACCACGACAGUUUAGAGAACACUCUCAAUAAUAUCAAUUUGCUUCCACCCACACCUUCAGUGCAACCUAAUUAUAAAACAGCCAAAAGAAAUGGAACAGUUAAAUUGAAAGGUGUGGAUUUACCAAACUUUUCAGGCGAAAAUAAGGCAGACUAUGAGUCAUGGAAAGCUGCAUUCAUGGCCAUCAUUGAUAAAGCAGAGAUUCCAGUUAGUGAAAAGAUGUUACGCCUCCAAAGUAGUUUAUCUGGGAAGGCAUUAGUUAUGGUCAAAGACCUUGGCUACUCACUGAAUGCAUAUGAGAGAGCAAAGUCCAAACUGGAAAAGAAAUAUGGCGGAGAAAGACGACUGAUGAUAAAACAUUUAACAGCCUUGCGUGAUAUGCCAAAGAUUAAGUCACGGAACCUUGAAGACAUGGAACAUUUUCUGGUCAUUUUGGAACGUGUCAUGAUUGCAUUGCAAGACAGUGGACCGGGUAGAGAACUGACAGGGCAAAAUUUGAAUCUCACCGCAAAAGAGAAGUUAUCACAAAGAGAUGUUCAAGCAUACAAAUACUGGCUUAUUGAACAUUCCAAUGAGGAUAACUUUGAAACCCUAGUUGAAUGGGUAGAACUUCAAGUUCAAAUUAUGGAAGAAGCCCAAGAAGAGACAAGUGGCCUCGGAACUAAGCCAGAAGAGCGGAAAUACUUUAGAGGCAAUGACAGACGUCACAACCGGGGAUUUAACAACACACACAAGCCGACCAGUUGCAUUGUCACCUCGUGCAAAGAAAAUCAUCCACCAUGGGUGUGUGGUGCAUUCAAAGCCUUGCCAGUAUCCCAAAGAAAGGAACUAAUCAGCAACAGUAAACGCUGCUUCAGGUGUUUAGCAGCUGGUCACCGCAGAAGAGAUUGCCCUAAUGUAAGACGGUGUGGUCUUAAUGGGUGCAACAGUGACGAACAUAGUCGAUAUCUCCAUGAAGAUAGCCACCAACCGCAUGAGACAAACCAACCCAAGCCAGGACAACACCCAGGAAACAACCAGCGAGACGAGACAAGUAAUCAAAAUGAAGCAACAGCCGAGACCAGAACACAUACAACCAGGCAAGCCGACUAUGUAUCACUUAUGGUUUUACCAGCAGUGAUUAGUAAUGGUACAAAAACACUGAAGGUGAAUGUAAUGCUAGACAACUGUUCAACUGGUUCAUAUGUGUCUGAUGCCGCAGCGGAAGAACUUACGCUACAAGGGAAAAGCCAACAACUUACAAUUUCAGGAACAGGCGGUACAGAGGUUAAGAAACAUUCACGUCAAGUUGAAGUGAUGGUAACCAGUCUCGACAAAAAGUUUUCUGCUAAUCUACAAGCCAAUGUUCUAGAUAAUAUAUCGGGCGACACCCCAGCGUUUGAGUGGUCCAAGCUGAAGAAAGAGUGGCCCCAUCUACAGUCAAUCCCGUUCCCGAAUGUUGCGAAGCGUCGACAAAUUGAUGUCCUUAUUGGAUCAGACAACCCCAUAUUUCACCAUAUUCUACAAGAGGUACAUGGAACUAAAGCGAGAGAUCCAAUUGCACGCAAGACAAGUCUCGGUUGGGUUUGUUUUGGCCCUACGCUUACCGAACAGUUUCGACGAUCAUCCAAAUCCUAUUUCACACGCACCUACCGCACUGAUCAGACCGAAGAACAAGGUUCUGAUGAUAUUCUACGACGGUUUUGGGAGCUAGAAGCCAUCGGUAUUCGAGAUGAAACGGAAAGAGAAUUGACGCCAGACGAGAAGGCAGCAGUAGCCCAAGUAACAGAAACAUUACGUUUGAGAGACGGUCGAUACGAGAUUGGCAUUCCGUGGAAAAGAGGCGAACCACACCUAGUAAACAACUACGAAAUGGCUUUAAACAGACUCAAGACCCAAGAAAGAUCCCUAGUACGAAAAGGUUCCGAAGUAGCAAACACAUAUGACGAGAUCAUCAAGGAUUACGAAAGAAAAGGCUAUGUUAAAAAAGUGCCCAAGAGCAAUGAACUUGAACAGUGGUUUCUCCCACAUUUCCCAGUGAUAAGACAGGAUCGAACAACAACUAAAGUGCGUAUGGUCUUUGAUGCCGCUGCCAAAGACAACGGGAAAUGUCUCAAUGAUGCUGUGCGACCUGGUCCGAAACUUCAAAGAGAGUUAACUGAUGUAUUGACACGCUUUCGACGAGCCCCUAUAGCCCUAUCUGGAGACAUCUCGGAGAUGUUUCUACAAGUUGGUCUUAUUGAGGAAGAUCGACGUUACCACAGGUUUCUCUGGCGCGACUUUGAUUCAAGAAAAGAUCCAGAUCACUACGAGUUUAAACGACUCCUGUUUGGUAACAGGGCUUCCCCAUUCUGUGCACAACACGUUGUGCACACCCACGCGAAAGUUCACGCUGCAGAUUACCCUCAUGCUGCAGAAACUGUUGACAAUUCUAUGUAUGUGGACGAUGUGUUAGACUCAUUUGAGACGGUAGACGAGGCUAUACAACUACGACAUGAACUGUCAGAGUUGCUUGCUAUGUGCAAUUUCAAGCUGAGAAAAUGGUCAUCCAAUGAUUCCACCGUCCUGAACGACAUUCCGACAGAAGACCGUCUGCAGAGCUUUGAGAUCCAUGACACGGAGGAGUCCCCCAAGACAAAGACUCUCGGUAUACUGUGGGAAUCAACGAGCGAUGUUUUUACUUUCCGGGUCCAACCACCCAAUGUGGAUAUGAAGUUGACAAAAAGAAACGUUCUCAGCACUAUAGCGACUAUCUUUGACCCACUGCAGUUCUUGGCCCCCUUCACCCUACGUGCUAAGAUUUUGAUGCAGGAAAUCUGGAUAGCUGGAAUCGGUUGGGACGAUCUCCUUACAGACGGAUUGAUUUUCAAGUGGAAAAAAUGGGUCUCGGAACUACGUGAAUUAUCGCAGGUCACUAUUCCUCGAAGUCUCCGUCUACCCAGUCCUUCCCAAAGUCGGUUACACGUAUUUUCAGAUGCAUCAAAAGAAGCUUAUGCUACGGUAGCCUACUUAGUUUGUCGAUAUUCUGACGAGAGCACGACCUCGAGAAUUGUUGCGUCGAAAAGUAGAGUGGCACCAACAAAAGCAGUGACGAUACCACGGCUAGAACUCAUGGGUGCAGUUCUUUCCACUCGACUGGCAAAGAACAUUAGCAAGACCUUAGAAGUUGGAGAACCUAUAUUCUGGACUGACUCGACAAACGUGUUGUACUGGAUACGAAACCAAAGUCGUGAUUUCAAGCCGUUUGUAGCCAACCGAAUCGGCGAAAUUCACAGAUCCACUAACCCACAGCAGUGGAGACAUAUACCUGGAGAGUCGAAUCCAGCAGACCUGCCAACAAGAGGAUUGUCAGCCACAGACCUAGCAAACAACGAAUUGUGGAAGAAGGGACCAGAAAUUCUACAACAAGACGAGUCAACAUGGCCCCCUCAAAUCCCCAACGAAGAAAUUCAGAGAAAUAUUGUCGAAGGCGAAAGACGAAAGGUUAACGUUACUCACACAACAAGGGACAGUUCAAACCAAAGUCUCAUUGAUCCAAAUCGUUUCUCGAGCUUUCAAAGAUUAGUGCGCGUCACCGGAUGGGUUCGACGUUUCCUGAGUAAUUGCAAACAGCCUAACGAAAACCGAGAAAAAAGUCGGACGCUCCGAGCACAAGAAUUACAGCAAGCAGAGACAUAUUGGUUUAAACGAACACAGAGCGAGGCGUUUCCCGACGGUGUGAAAGAAAAGUGUUUGAUUCAAUUAAAUCCAAAGAAAGACGAGAAUGGUUUAUUACGAUCUGACGGCCGAUUACGCAACGCCACUGACGUGCCAUAUGGUGUUAGACACCCCAUUUUAUUACCCAAAGAUCAUACUGUAACACGUCUGAUAAUUAUAAGUGCACACGAAAAUCUCGGACACGGUUCUGGUGUUGAACAUGUUCUAACUGAGCUGCGUGCCCGAUUCUGGAUAAUCAAAGGAAGACGAACUGUGCGAAAUACGAUUGAAAAGUGUCCUGGCUGUCGUAGACGAUUCACCGGAAAACCAACUACUCAAAUGAUGGCUCCGUUACCGAUGUCAAGAUUGCAAUGCCCCCUACGAGCCUUUGAACGCGUUGGUGUGGAUUACGGCGGACCAUACUUGACCAAACAGGGAAGAGGCAAGACAAGAGCAAAACGUUACCUGUGUCUAUUUACUUGUCUUACUACACGGGCUGUACAUUUGGAAAUGGCGUAUUCCCUGGAUACAGAUUCCUUUAUAAACGCGUUUACCAGGAUGGUAGCAAGGAGGGGGAAGCCGACAUACGUAGUUUCUGAUAACGGUACCAACUUUGUUGGAGCGGAACGAGAACUGCGAGAGUUAGUAGAAGCAUUUGAUCUAGAAAAAAUUACAAACAAGACAACACAAGAUUAUGCGAUGGAGUGGAAGUUCAAUCCACCAUCGGCCCCACACUUCGGUGGUGUAUUCGAGGCAAUGAUCAAGAGUGCUAAAAAAGCCAUAAAAGCUAUUCUUGGUAAUGCGGACAUUACCGACGAGGAACUUCAUACUGCCAUUUGCGAUGCAGAACGUUUAUUAAACUCACGACCAAUCACCUUCAUCAGUUCAGAUCCUGAAGAUCUUUCCCCGUUGACCCCGAGUCAUUUCCUUAUCGGACAGUUGGGAGGAAAAUUUGCUCCUGAAACCGCAGAUCGAGAUGAAGUUUUCAACCCCCGAAAGCGUUGGCAUCGUGUACAGCAGUUGGUGGGGCAGUUUUGGAAACGCUGGAGGAGAGAGUUUCUGCCGAGCUUAAAUACACGAAAGAAGUGGUUUCAUCCGACACACAACCUAAAGGAGGACGACGUAGUGAUGUUAGUAGAGCCGAAUGCAAAGAGAGGAGAAUGGCCUCUUGGUCGAGUUAUCGAAGUAUUUCCUGGAAAUGAUGGAUUGGUACGAGUUGUAAGGAUAAAAACGAAAGACGGUGAAUACUUGCGUCCGGUGCACCGGUUGUGCCCUUUUGAAUACGCAGGAGACAAUUCAUAACGCUCGGACUGUUACCUAAGACAUUGAACACAUCGCAGUUAUAUAUUAACUAGUUUUGUUAGUUGGGUUCGAAUGUUUUUACAUUCGGGAGGGGGAUGUUUCUGUCCUUAUGACAGCAUCCAGUUAAAAAUAGAGAUCAGGAAUGCGACCGCAAAAGACAAGGACCGCGGGCGCAAAAAACGUGAGACGAACGUUUUAUUGUCGUAUCGAAAGAUUGUUUUGCGAAUUCCGUUAAAUAUUAUGUAAAUUUCUUGUUAAAAUACACGAAAAAUCUGAAAGCUAUUUGUUCCACGUAAAAUCGUCUUGACUUUUC